CUGGUUUGGUUAAAAAGGGCCAACAUGGAAUUGGAGAAGAAGUCACCUAACCGGGUUAUCACGGGUUAACCGGGGUUGGUGUCAGGGAGAGUGCACAAAGAUGGAGUACUAGGUGGACGUAUGGUCAGGGAACCAAAGCCUACUAUGUCACAACUCCUUCGCAUUGGUUGUCAUGGACAACCAGAUCUA